CUCAGUUCGGAUUGGAGUCUGCAACUCGACUCCAUGAAGCUGGAUUCGCUAGUAAUCGCGCAUCAGCCAUGGCGCGGUGAAUACGUUCCCGGGCCUUGUACACACCGCCCGUCAAGCCAUGGAAGCCGGGAGUGCCUGAAGUGUGCAACCGCAAGGAGCGCCCUAAGGUAAAACCGGUGACUGGGGCUAAGUCGUAACAAGGUAUC
rnacentral:rRNA from 1 species